rnacentral:piRNA from 1 species
UCCUUCUGGCUUUACCUUGCUUGAUGCCUU